rnacentral:tRNA from 1 species
GUUUCAAUAGCUUAAUAAAAAGUAAUGAUUUUGUAAAUCAUAGAUAAUUUAUAUUUUGAAACU